rnacentral:RNase_P_RNA from 1 species
CGAGUGGAACAUACGGCGGCGGGACAGUUCGCAAGAACUGCCUGAGGAAAGUCCGGGCUUCACAGAGGCAUGACAACUGCUAACGGCAGCCGGGGGUGACCCCAGGGAUAGUGCAACAGAAAGAAACCGCCGCGCUUUGCGCGGUAAGGAUGGAAAGGCGAGGUAAGAGCUCACCAGCGCACUGGCGACUUUGCGGCUAUGUAAACCCUGUCUGAAGCAACAUCCGUAUGGGACAUAUGCGGAGCCUCGCGCGUCCCGGUGAUGGCAUGAGCCCUGCGGCGACGCAGGGCCAAGAUAGAUCGUCGUUUGAUACAGAACCCGGCUUACGGUCCAGUCGUUUC